rnacentral:rRNA from 2 species
GGUUAAGCGACUAAGCGUACACGGUGGAUGCCCUGGCAGUCAGAGGCGAUGAAGGGCGUGCUAAUCUGCGAUAAGCGCCGGUAAGGUGAUAUGAACCGUUAUAACCGGCGAUACCCGAAUGGGGAAACCCAGUGUGAUUCGUCACACUAUCAUUAACUGAAUCCAUAGGUUAAUGAGGCGAACCGGGGGAACUGAAACAUCUAAGUACCCCGAGGAAAAGAAAUCAACCGAGAUUCCCCCAGUAGCGGCGAGCGAACGGGGAGGAGCCCAGAGCCUGAAUCAGCAUGUGUGUUAGUGGAAGCGUCUGGAAAGGCGCGCGAUACAGGGUGACAGCCCCGUACACAAAAGCGCAUGUGCUGUGAGCUCGAUGAGUAGGGCGGGACACGUGGUAUCCUGUCUGAAUAUGGGGGGACCAUCCUCCAAGGCUAAAUACUCCUGACUGACCGAUAGUGAACCAGUACCGUGAGGGAAAGGCGAAAAGAACCCCGGCGAGGGGAGUGAAAAAGAACCUGAAACCGUGUACGUACAAGCAGUGGGAGCCCCACCACUAAGCCAGUGGUGAACUCCACAUACGCAUCCUUUGCUGAGGAUACGGUUAACGGAGCGAAAGCGACGUUCAACCGCAAAAGAAGCAGAGGGGGCUUAGUGGUGGGGUGACUGCGUACCUUUUGUAUAAUGGGUCAGCGACUUAUAUUCUGUAGCAAGGUUAACCGAAUAGGGGAGCCGCAGGGAAACCGAGUCUUAAUUGGGCGUUAAGUUGCAGGGUAUAGACCCGAAACCCGGUGAUCUAGCCAUGGGCAGGUUGAAGGUUGGGUAACACUAACUGGAGGACCGAACCGACUAAUGUUGAAAAAUUAGCGGAUGACCUGUGGCUGGGGGUGAAAGGCCAAUCAAACCGGGAGAUAGCUGGUUCUCCCCGAAAGCUAUUUAGGUAGCGCCUCGUGAAUUCAUCUCCGGGGGUAGAGCACUGUUUCGGCUAGGGGGCCAUCCCGGCUUACCAACCCGAUGCAAACUGCGAAUACCGGAGAAUGUUAUCACGGGAGACACACGGCGGGUGCUAACGUCCGUCGUGAAGAGGGAAACAACCCAGACCGCCAGCUAAGGUCCCAAAGUCAUGGUUAAGUGGGAAACGAUGUGGGAAGGCCCAGACAGCCAGGAUGUUGGCUUAGAAGCAGCCAUCAUUUAAAGAAAGCGUAAUAGCUCACUGGUCGAGUCGGCCUGCGCGGAAGAUGUAACGGGGCUAAACCAUGCACCGAAGCUGCGGCAGCGACGCUGAUGCGUUGUUGGGUAGGGGAGCGUUCUGUAAGCCUGUGAAGGUGUGUCGUGAGGCAUGCUGGAGGUAUCAGAAGUGCGAAUGCUGACAUAAGUAACGAUAAAGCGGGUGAAAAGCCCGCUCGCCGGAAGACCAAGGGUUCCUGUCCAACGUUAAUCGGGGCAGGGUGAGUCGACCCCUAAGGCGAGGCCGAAAGGCGUAGUCGAUGGGAAACGGGUUAAUAUUCCCGUACUUGGUGUUACUGCGAAGGGGGGACGGAGAAGGCUAUGUUGGCCGGGCGACGGUUGUCCCGGUUUAAGCGUGUAGGUGUGUGUUCCAGGUAAAUCCGGUUCACUUUAACACUGAGGCGUGAUGACGAGGCACUACGGUGCUGAAGCAACAAAUGCCCUGCUUCCAGGAAAAGCCUCUAAGCAUCAGGUAACAUCAAAUCGUACCCCAAACCGACACAGGUGGUCAGGUAGAGAAUACCAAGGCGCUUGAGAGAACUCGGGUGAAGGAACUAGGCAAAAUGGUGCCGUAACUUCGGGAGAAGGCACGCUGACACGUAGGUGAAGUGAUUUACUCACGGAGCUGAAGUCAGUCGAAGAUACCAGCUGGCUGCAACUGUUUAUUAAAAACACAGCACUGUGCAAACACGAAAGUGGACGUAUACGGUGUGACGCCUGCCCGGUGCCGGAAGGUUAAUUGAUGGGGUCAGCGCAAGCGAAGCUCCUGAUCGAAGCCCCGGUAAACGGCGGCCGUAACUAUAACGGUCCUAAGGUAGCGAAAUUCCUUGUCGGGUAAGUUCCGACCUGCACGAAUGGCGUAAUGAUGGCCAGGCUGUCUCCACCCGAGACUCAGUGAAAUUGAACUCGCUGUGAAGAUGCAGUGUACCCGCGGCAAGACGGAAAGACCCCGUGAACCUUUACUAUAGCUUGACACUGAACAUUGAGCCUUGAUGUGUAGGAUAGGUGGGAGGCUUUGAAGUGUGGACGCCAGUCUGCAUGGAGCCGACCUUGAAAUACCACCCUUUAAUGUUUGAUGUUCUAACGUGGACCCGUAAUCCGGGUUGCGGACAGUGUCUGGUGGGUAGUUUGACUGGGGCGGUCUCCUCCUAAAGAGUAACGGAGGAGCACGAAGGUUGGCUAAUCCUGGUCGGACAUCAGGAGGUUAGUGCAAUGGCAUAAGCCAGCUUGACUGCGAGCGUGACGGCGCGAGCAGGUGCGAAAGCAGGUCAUAGUGAUCCGGUGGUUCUGAAUGGAAGGGCCAUCGCUCAACGGAUAAAAGGUACUCCGGGGAUAACAGGCUGAUACCGCCCAAGAGUUCAUAUCGACGGCGGUGUUUGGCACCUCGAUGUCGGCUCAUCACAUCCUGGGGCUGAAGUAGGUCCCAAGGGUAUGGCUGUUCGCCAUUUAAAGUGGUACGCGAGCUGGGUUUAGAACGUCGUGAGACAGUUCGGUCCCUAUCUGCCGUGGGCGCUGGAGAACUGAGGGGGGCUGCUCCUAGUACGAGAGGACCGGAGUGGACGCAUCACUGGUGUUCGGGUUGUCAUGCCAAUGGCACUGCCCGGUAGCUAAAUGCGGAAGAGAUAAGUGCUGAAAGCAUCUAAGCACGAAACUUGCCCCGAGAUGAGUUCUCCCUGAGACUUAGAGUCUCCUGAAGGAACGUUGAAGACGACGACGUUGAUAGGCCGGGUGUGUAAGCGCAGCGAUGCGUUGAGCUAACCGGUACUAAUGAACCGUGAGGCUUAACCUU